AAAUUUUGAAAUUUGAAUAAUAAUAUUUUUUUUUUAUUGCGGUUGUUGAGUUUUUUGGAUUCGUUAGAUCUGAAUAAAAGCAAAGAAUAGAUAGAACCUGAAGAGUGACAACACCUGUCGAGUGACAACACCUGUCGAGGUCUAUUUGUUGAUAAAAUUUAAAUCGAUAUAGAUUUUUGAGCGAACUAGAAUUUUAGUAAAAAUUAUUUUUCUUUCUUUAUUUGUUUGUUAGCUGCAGAACUAUAGUUUUGUAAAUUUUGAUAUCUAUUAAGUAGAAAAUGAAUAACAUAAAAGUUUAAGAUGCGAGAGAUGUUUUAGGAUUUCAUUAUUAUUAUUUUUCAUAAUUGAUUUGGCGCAGGUCAUUUUGAAUUUUCACCAAAGAUGAUUUUAGGGUAAAUUAAAUAACAAAAAUAAAU
rnacentral:lncRNA from 1 species